rnacentral:lncRNA from 1 species
UUUUUUCUCAUAACAGCAUGUGUGCUUCUUUUGGUGGAGAAUUUUGUGCUUGGGGAUUUUACUAAAUUCUUCGUAGGUGUUCUAGGAUGUUCCUUUAUUUAGGAUUCAGGAGUUGAUAACAUCCCAACUCUGGAAUUGGAAAUUAAAUGUUUCUUGACAUUCUCCAUUCUCCUUUCUAGCUCGUGGAGUUUUCCUCCGACGAAUUCUACCUUCAACGAUGGUCAUGUCAACUACGGAUGUCAUUCAUGGCAUCAAGGAGGAAAAGAAAGGAAGGCUAGAAGAUGGUGCACGGCUCUAAUGAAGGGCAUCCUCUUGUAGAACACAAGCCUGCUAAUAGCUUGUUUCA